rnacentral:rRNA from 1 species
GACGAACGCUGGCGGCGUGCUUAACACAUGCAAGUCGAACGGAAAGGCCCUGCUUUUGUGGGGUGCUCGAGUGGCGAACGGGUGAGUAACACGUGAGUAACCUGCCCUUGACUUUGGGAUAACUUCAGGAAACUGGGGCUAAUACCGGAUAGGAGCUCCUGCUGCAUGGUGGGGGUUGGAAAGUUUCGGCGGUUGGGGAUGGACUCGCGGCUUAUCAGCUUGUUGGUGGGGUAGUGGCUUACCAAGGCUUUGACGGGUAGCCGGCCUGAGAGGGUGACCGGCCACAUUGGGACUGAGAGACGGCCCAGACUCCUACGGGAGGCAGCAGUGGGGAAUAUUGCACAAGGGGCGGAAGCCUGAUGCAGCAACGCCGCGUGCGGGAUGACGGCCUUCGGGUUGUAAACCGCUUUCGCCUGUGACGAAGCGUGAGUGACGGUAAUGGGUAAAGAAGCACCGGCUAACUACGUG